CCUACGGGGGGCAGCAGUGGGGAAUAUUGGACGAUGGGGGCAACCCUGAUCCAGCCAUGCCGCGUGUGUGAAGAAGGCCCUCGGGUUGUAAAGCACUUUCAGUGAGGAAGAACGCCUGGUGGUUAAUACCCAUCAGGAAAGACAUCACUCACAGAAGAAGCACCGGCUAACUCCGUGCCAGCAGCCGCGGUAAUACGGAGGGUGCGAGCGUUAAUCGGAAUUACUGGGCGUAAAGCGCGCGUAGGUGGCUUGAUAAGCCGGUUGUGAAAGCCCCGGGCUCAACCUGGGAACGGCAUCCGGAACUGUCAAGCUAGAGUGCAGGAGAGGAAGGUAGAAUUCCCGGUGUAGCGGUGAAAUGCGUAGAGAUCGGGAGGAAUACCAGUGGCGAAGGCGGCCUUCUGGACUGACACUGACACUGAGGUGCGAAAGCGUGGGUAGCAAACAGGAUUAGAUACCCUGGUAGUC
rnacentral:rRNA from 1 species